UGCAAGUCGAACGCUGAAGCCCCAGCUUGCUGGGGUGGAUGAGUGGCGAACGGGUGAGUAACACGUGAGUAACCUGCCCAUCACUCUGGGAUAAGCGCUGGAAACGGCGUCUAAUACUGGAUACGAGCAGCGACCGCAUGGUCAGCUGCUGGAAAGACUGGUUCGGUGAUGGAUGGACUCGCGGCCUAUCAGCUUGUUGGUGAGGUAAUGGCUCACCAAGGCGACGACGGGUAGCCGGCCUGAGAGGGUGACCGGCCACACUGGGACUGAGACACGGCCCAGACUCCUACGGGAGGCAGCAGUGGGGAAUAUUGCACAAUGGGCGCAAGCCUGAUGCAGCAACGCCGCGUGAGGGAUGACGGCCUUCGGGUUGUAAACCUCUUUUAGUAGGGAAGAAGCCUUCGGGUGACGGUACCUGCAGAAAAAGCACCGGCUAACUACGUGCCAGCAGCCGCGGUAAUACGUAGGGUGCAAGCGUUGUCCGGAAUUAUUGGGCGUAAAGAGCUCGUAGGCGGCUUGUCGCGUCUGCUGUGAAAACCCGAGGCUCAACCUCGGGCCUGCAGUGGGUACGGGCAAGCUAGAGUGCGGUAGGGGAGAUUGGAAUUCCUGGUGUAGCGGUGGAAUGCGCAGAUAUCAGGAGGAACACCGAUGGCGAAGGCAGAUCUCUGGGCCGUAACUGACGCUGAGGAGCGAAAGCAUGGGGAGCGAACAGGAUUAGAUACCCUGGUAGUCCAUGCCGUAAACGUUGGGAACUAGAUGUAGGGCCUGUUCCACGGGUUCUGUGUCGUAGCUAACGCAUUAAGUUCCCCGCCUGGGGAGUACGGCCGCAA
rnacentral:rRNA from 1 species